GGAGGAAUACCCAAGUCCGGCUGAAGGGAUCGGUCUUGAAAACCGACAGGGGCUUAACUGCUCGCGGGGGUUCGAAUCCCUCUUCCUCCG
rnacentral:tRNA from 1 species